AUGACUGAAAAGAGGAGAGAAACAGAAAUCUGGUAUGAAGGGGAGCAGAGUCCUCUUAUAGUUGACAGUGAAAUGAGAGGACUCCUAGAUUAUUUGGCAGCAGAAGGAAGCCCAUCAGAUGCUUUCCUGAGUUUGAGCUGCAGCCCCAGCUGCUGUGCUACCACAGGACAGUUGUACUUUGGAGCUGGAACCAAGCUGACAGUGCUGGAUAAUCUGGAAAGGGUGACUCCCCCCAAGGUGACUGUGUUUCAGCCAUCUGAGGAAGAGAUUGAGAAGAAGGGAAAGGCCACACUGGUGUGUCUGGCCACAGGCUUCUACCCUGACCUCGUGGAGCUGAGAUGGUGGGUGAAUGGACAGGAGACCCAAGUUGGGGUCAGCACGGACCCUCAGCCCUCCAGGGAGGAGCCCCAUAACAACCAUUCCAAAUACUCUCUGAGCAGCCGCCUCCGGGUUUCUGCUCCCUUCUGGCGCAACCCCAAGAACAGCUUCCGUUGCCAAGUACUGUUCUAUGGCAUCUCUGAGGACGAGACCUGGACAAGUAACCAGAACAAACCUGUCACCCAGAAUGUCAGUGACCAGAUCUGGGGAAGGGCAGAUUGUGGCGUCACCUCUGAGUCUUACCAACAAAGUAUCCAGUCUGCCACCUUAUUCUAUAAGAUCCUGCUGGGGAAGGCCUGGAUGUAUGGUCUGCUGGUCAGUGCCCUGGUGUGGAGAGCUGUGGUCAAGAAAAACUAUUCUUGAGGCCAUCUGUGGACCUGGGAGCAGGGAACCAAGAGCAAGGGGCCUUCAUCCUCUCAUCACCUCGGCUUGGCUUCUCCUUUGUCCACUUCCAGUCUGUCCAUUUCUAGCACCAGAGGAGGCGCUCUCUCCUCUAUCCUCAUCUUUAUCCCUCACAGAUUUCCUCAAAGAGAACUAUGUAAGCCAGAAGAGACAAAUGUGGUGGAUUAAUCUUAAAGCAAUAAAAAUGUCCUGGUGUGGUCUCAAUUUUAACUAUUGGGUAUCUAUGCCUUAUGUGCUGUAAUCUUAGUCACAAUAGAGGUUUCCAAGAGGUAACUGGCAAUAAUUUAUGGAAAAUAUUCUCUAGCAAAUGAAGAGAAUCACCAUUCCUCACCCUCUACAGGUAGUACAAAAAGGGAGCUUUGCUAGUUUGAAGAACUAGGCAGGAGGUACAUUGGGGAGAGGACCAGGACUAGGCAGAGGGCCAUGACAAUGCCCCCAUGAUGAAAGAGGCAUGAAAAUAGACAUUUAGAAUGAAAGAGAGGUGUUCUAGAAUAAGACACGAACCUUUCAUGAUCUCAACUGCUAGUGCCCUCUGCCCCUUUUAUUUAUUUUGCAUAUAUUUCGUAUAAACUUUUUCAUUCACCUAUUGUCUCUCAUUAUAGAAUGUAAACCUGUGGAGGGUAGGGACUGAUUCAUUUUUGUCUUUGUGUUCUUAGUUACUAGCACCAUGCCUGGCACAAAGCUGGUAUUUUAAUCAGAUUGUUGAUCUAUGCCUUUAUUGCACCUUCUGCAGAGUACCCCCCCUUGAGGAUGUAGACAAGAAACCUUGUAUAUAAGUGUUGAAUGUAAAUGAGAUGUUUGCAUGUGUAUAUUCCCAAUGUGUAAGGAAGUCCCUCAAAGUCUGAUUGGACUUUUUCAUCUCCUGUACAGAAAUAACAAGACUCAUGUAGAGUCUUAUAAAACAGAUUCUAUACAAGAGAUGAAAAAGUUUCUUCCUGAAUACCUGAAGGAGAGGGAGAAUCAGCUUUAAUUAGAGCAGAAUUGGGGGAGUAGUUGGAGGUUUGGUUCCUUCCAAUUUGGAAGCUGGGAAUUAAGAAACCCAACAAAAGUGAGUUUAAGGAGAUCACAGUGAGUAGACCAUUAUGGGUUGCUUCCCAUUUGAGCUGUGCUUGAGGCUCAACUUUGUAGGAAUUCAUGGUAAGACUUUGAGGAUUCAGUGUAACAAUUGCCCUGGAAGGGUCCCCUUCCAGAAGACUGGAGAUCUUCUGGUCCAAUUCCUACAUUUUACAGAUAAGGAAAUGGAAAUAACACCAUUCCCAAUACAAUUUGCUGUCUACCCAUUUGGAGCUAUAGGCAAGAGAUACCUUAUAUGGCUAAAAUGAUUUGGUAAUGAUACUAUGCCAAUUAAAUAGUAAGUGUUGGUAUCAGAACAAGAAUCUGGAUCUCCUAAUACCAGGUAAGUGGACAUUUGCUACACCAAUACACCAAACUGCCAUGAAAGUCUCAAAGUUUUAAAUAUGCCACUUCACUAGGGCACAUAAUUGAGAGUAGGAGUUCUUAAGCUAGAGUCCAUGAAUUGCUCCCCCAACAAAGGAGUCCAUGAAGAGAUUUUGGGAUCUACAAACUUGGG